AGCGAACGCUGGCGGCAGGCCUAACACAUGCAAGUCGAACGAACUCUUCGGAGUUAGUGGCGGACGGGUGAGUAACAUGUGGGAACGUGCCUUUAGGCUCGGAAUAACUCAGGGAAACUUGUGCUAAUACCGAAUGUGUCCUUCUGGGGAAAGAUUUAUCGCCUUUAGAGCGGCCCGCGUCUGAUUAGCUAGUUGGUGAGGUAAAGGCUCACCAAGGCGACGAUCAGUAGCUGGUCUGAGAGGAUGAUCAGCCACAUUGGGACGGAGAAACGGCCCAAACUCCUACGGGAGGCAGCAGUGGGGAAUCUUGCGCAAUGGGCGAAAGCAUGACGGAGCCAUGCCGCGUGAAUGAUGAAGGUCUUAGGAAUGAAAAAUUCUUUCACCGGGGACGAUAAUGACGGUACCCGGAGAAGAAGCCCCGGCUAACUUCGUG
rnacentral:rRNA from 1 species